GCGGACGUAGCUCAGUUGGUAGAGCAUCAGCUUCCCAAGCUGAGGGUCGCGGGUUCGAUCCCCGUCGUCCGCUCCU
rnacentral:tRNA from 1 species